rnacentral:rRNA from 1 species
CCCUUAGAUGUUCCGGGCCGCACGCGCGCUACACUGAUGCAUUCAACGAGUGUACCUUGGCCGAGAGGCCUGGGCAAUCUUUUGAACGUGCAUCGUGAUAGGGAUAGAUUAUUGCAAUUAUUAAUCUUGAACGAGGAAUUCCUAGUAAACGCAGUUCAUCAAACUGCAUUGAUUACGUCCCUGCCCUUUGUACACACCGCCCGUCGCACCUACCGAUUGGAUGGUCCGGUGAAGCCUCGGGAUUGUGGCGGUUGCCUUUAUUGGUGGCCGCCGCGAGAACUUGUCUAAACCUUAUCAUCUAGAGGAAGGUGAAGUCGUAACA